rnacentral:rRNA from 1 species
CUAGUGUAGAGGUGAAAUUCGUAGAUAUUAGAAAGAAUACCAAUUGCGAAGGCAGCUUUCUGGAUCAUUACUGACACUGAGGAACGAAAGCAUGGGUAGCGAAGAGGAUUAGAUACCCUCGUAGUCCAUGCCGUAAACGAUGUGUGUUAGACGUUGGAAAUUUAUUUUCAGUGUCGCAGCGAAAGCAAUAAACACACCGCCUGGGGAGUACGACCGCAAGGUUAAAACUCAAAUGAAUUGACGGGGACCCGCACAAGUAGUGGAGCAUGUGGUUUAAUUCGAAGAUACGCGCAGAACCUUACCAACACUUGACAUGUUCGUCGCGACUUUAAGAGAUUAAAGUUUUCGGUUCGGCCGGACGAAACACAGGUGCUGCAUGGCUGUCGUCAGCUCGUGUCGUGAGAUGUUGGGUUAAGUCCCGCAACGAGCGCAACCCUCACUUUUAGUUGCCAUCAUUUAGUUGGGCACUCUGAAAGAACUGCCAGUGAUAAGCUGGAGGAAGGUGGGGAUGACGUCAAGUCCUCAUGGCCCUUACGUGUUGGGCUACACACGUGCUACAAUGGUAUCUACAACAGGAAGCAAAACGGCGACGUUAAGCAAAUCCUUAAAAGAUACCUCAGUUCGGAUUGCACUCUGCAACUCGAGUGCAUGAAGCUGGAAUUACUAGUAAUCGUGGAUCAGCGUGCCACGGUGAAUGCGUUCCCGGGUCUUGUACACACCGCCCGUCACACCAUGGGAGUUGGUUCUACCUUAAGGCAAGGUUUUAAACCCUUGACCACGGUAUAGUCAGCGACUGGGGUGAAGUCGUAACAAGGUAGCCGUAGGGGAACCUGCGGCUG